rnacentral:misc_RNA from 1 species
UACAAAACCAACGAUUUAAACACCAAAAAUCCCACAAUUAAUCACAGAGCAAGCAUAAAAACCACCUAAGCUCAAAAGGGUGUCUAUAAAAUUAUUCUCUUACCUAAAUUCUCCAGCACGUACUUGGCCUUGCUCACCGGCUUUAUUUUCCUUUGUUUCUCAGCAGAGAAAUCGAUCACCGGAGGCAGUGCCGGAGCUGCCGAGGAUAUCGGCUUUGGAGACAACGCCAUCGUGACGCUGCCAUCAGGACCAUACUUUCUUGGCCUUCCUCGCUUCUUCUUCAAAGGCAUCGACGCCGCCGUUGAUGGCGGAUGAACCACCGCCGGUGGCGGAGGCGGAGCUGAUCCAGGGGCGGAGCUAGGGUUGUCGGCGGACCUCGGAGCGAUUUGAUAGUCCGAUGGCACAUCGGAUCCCACCACUGUAACCCCACCUACACUGCUACUACUCACAGUUUCUCUUGCUUCCAUGCUUAAACCCUAUGGAUUUUAUUUUUCUUUUUAAAGAUUUUACUAAAAACCCAUUUUGAUUUUCAGCUCAAAUC